CCUACGGGAGGCAGCAGUAGGGAAUAUUGCUCAAUGGGGGAAACCCUGAAGCAGCAACGCCGCGUGGAGGAUGAAGGUUUUCGGAUUGUAAACUCCUUUUGUUAGAGAAGAUAAUGACGGUAUCUAACGAAUAAGCACCGGCUAACUCCGUGCCAGCAGCCGCGGUAAUACGGAGGGUGCAAGCGUUACUCGGAAUCACUUGGCGUAAAGCGCGCGUAGGCGGGAUAGCAAGUCAGAUGUGAAAUCCUAUGGCUUAACCAUAGAACUGCAUUUGAAACUGGUAUUCUAGAGUAUGGGAGAGGUAGGUGGAAUUCUUGGUGUAGGGGUAAAAUCCGUAGAGAUCAAGAGGAAUACUCAUUGCGAAGGCGACCUGCUAGAACAUAACUGACGCUGAUGCGCGAAAGCGUGGGGAGCAAACAGGAUUAGAUACCCGAGUAGUC
rnacentral:rRNA from 1 species